rnacentral:rRNA from 1 species
AACGAACGCUGGCGGCAUGCCUAACACAUGCAAGUCGAACGAGACCUUCGGGUCUAGUGGCGCACGGGUGCGUAACGCGUGGGAACCUGCCCUUAGGUUCGGAAUAACUCCCCGAAAGGGGUGCUAAUACCGGAUAAUGUCUUCGGACCAAAGAUUUAUCGCCUUUGGAUGAGCCCGCGUUGGAUUAGCUAGUUGGUAGGGUAAAAGCCUACCAAGGCGACGAUCCAUAGCUGGUCUGAGAGGAUGAUCAGCCACACUGGGACUGAGGCACGGCCCAGACUCCUACGGGAGGCAGCAGUGGGGAAUAUUGGACAAUGGGCGAAAGCCUGAUCCAGCAAUGCCGCGUGAGUGAUGAAGGCCUUAGGGUUGUAAAGCUCUUUUACCCGGGAUGAUAAUGACAGUACCGGGAGAAUAAGCUCCGGCUAACUCCGUG